rnacentral:misc_RNA from 1 species
GAUGAAGAACGCAGCGAAAUGCGAUAAGUAAUGUGAAUUGCAGAAUUCAGUGAAUCAUCGAAUCUUUGAACGCACAUUGCGCCCCCCAGUAUUCUGGCGGGCAUGCCUGUUCGAGCGUCAUUUCAACCAUCAAGCCCUGCUUGUGUUGGGGUCCUGCGGCUGCCCGCAGGCCCUGAAAACCAGUGGCGGGCUCGCUAGUCACACCGAGCGCAGUAGCACAUCUCGCUCAGGGCGUGCGGCGGGCUCCAGCCGUUAAAGCACCCACCUUUCGCAAGGUUGACCUCGGACCAGGUAGGAAUACCCGCUGAACUUAAGCAUAUCAAUAAGCGGAGGA